rnacentral:rRNA from 1 species
GACGAACGCUGGCGGCGUGCUUAACACAUGCAAGUCGAACGGUGACCCAGGGCUUGCCCUGGUGAUCAGUGGCGAACGGGUGAGUAACACGUGGGGCAACCUGCCCCUGACUUCGGGAUAACUCCUCGAAAGAGGAGCUAAUACCGGAUACGACCACUUCGGACAUCCGAUGGUGGUGGAAAGUUUUUCGGUCAGGGAUGGGCCCGCGGCCUAUCAGCUAGUUGGUGGGGUAAUGGCCUACCAAGGCGACGACGGGUAGCCGGCCUGAGAGGGCGACCGGCCACACUGGGACUGAGAUACGGCCCAGACUCCUACGGGAGGCAGCAGUGGGGAAUAUUGCGCAAUGGGCGAAAGCCUGACGCAGCGACGCCGCGUGAGGGAUGAAGGCCUUCGGGUUGUAAACCUCUUUCAGCAGGGACGAAGCGAAAGUGACGGUACCUGCAGAAGAAGCACCGGCUAACUACGUGCCAGCAGCCGCGGUAAU